rnacentral:rRNA from 1 species
GAUGAACGCUGGCGGCGUGCCUAAUACAUGCAAGUCGAGCGAACGGACGAGAAGCUUGCUUCUCUGAUGUUAGCGGCGGACGGGUGAGUAACACGUGGAUAACCUACCUAUAAGACUGGGAUAACUUCGGGAAACCGGAGCUAAUACCGGAUAAUAUUUUGAACCGCAUGGUUCAAAAGUGAAAGACGGUCUUGCUGUCACUUAUAGAUGGAUCCGCGCUGCAUUAGCUAGUUGGUAAGGUAACGGCUUACCAAGGCAACGAUGCAUAGCCGACCUGAGAGGGUGGUCGGCCCCACUGGAACUUGGACACGGUCCCGACUCCUACGGGAGGCAGCAGUAGGGAAUCUUCCGCAAUGGGCGAAAGCCUGGCGGAGCAACGCCGCGUGAGUUAUGAAGGUCUUCGGAUCGUAAAACUCUGUUAUUAGGGAAGAACAUAUGUGUAAGUAACUGUGCACAUCUUGACGGUACCUAAUCAGAAAGCCACGGCUAACUACGUG